CACGCUGUAAACGAUGAGAGCUAGUUGUCGGCACGCAUGCGUGUCGGUGACGCAGCUAACGCAUUAAGCUCUCCGCCUGGGGAGUACGGCCGCAAGGUUAAAACUCAAAGAAAUUGACGGGGGCCCGCACAAGCGGUGGAGCAUGUGGUUUAAUUCGAAGCAACGCGAAGAACCUUACCCACGUUUGACAUGUCUAGUAUGGUCGUCAGAGAUGACUUCCUUCAGUUCGGCUGGCUAGAACACAGGUGC
rnacentral:rRNA from 1 species